GGCCCCUUCUGCAUAAUUAACAAAGAAAUUCAAGGCUGCUGGAGUGAGGACCAAGUGUGAGAAAACAAUGCCGGCAUAGAAAAGAACAGAGGAUCCAAGGACAAUUGGUGCCAGGAAUCUUCUUUCUGACAUUGUCAAACCAGGAAGAACGAAGGCUAUGAUCUCGUAGAGAAUCACAGGAGCUCCUAAGAGAAGGCCACUAUAUCCUGAGACUUUUAAAGUAGUGAAAAAGAACUCUCCUGGACCUAGUUGCAAAAAUCGAACACCUUGUGCUAGAACAGGGGCUUCAAGAAUCAAGAUAAGUUCUUUUGAGAAGGCAAAACAUCCCACUAUAGCAGCACCAACGGCCAAAACAGACACAAAGAGUCUCUGGCGCAACUCCUCCAAAUGAUCAAAUAGAGUCAUUUCUUUAUCAUCUGGUAGCAGCUCUUUAUUAGGGUAAAGGAAAUCAUAAACAACAUUCCCUUCACUAUCUGAUCCACCGUUCUUAAAUAAACUCUCGCUUGAGCCAUCACCGACAUCAGGUCUAUCUUCAACAGCUGAACCAAGACUGCUAGCAUUUGCUCCACUAAUUUCUCUCUGUUUCUCCAUGGAAUCUUCAACAGCAGAACAAACAAGUCUGCUGAACUUUUUGAUGCAUUUUCUGCUAGAAAGAUUCAAUUUUGGCCUUGUGGGGUUGAUAUUCAGAGAAGUUCUUGAAUUCAAGCAUUUGAAACAGUUAGUUUGAGUCAGGUGAAGAUUUGAGAUGAGAGCACUUGAACUUCCCAUCUCUUUUCUUUCUGUUUUUUGGGUUCUUUUCCUCUUUGAUUUGGUUUUGUUGUCUGAAUUUGGCGUUGAAGG
rnacentral:misc_RNA from 1 species